rnacentral:rRNA from 1 species
UACAGAGGGGGCGAGCGUUGUUCGAAAUUACUGGGCGUAAAGGGCGCGUAGGCGGCCUGCUAAGUCGGACGUGAAAUCCCCUGGCUCAACCAGGGAACUGCGUCCGAUACUGGCGGGCUUGAAUCCGGGAGAGGGAUGCGGAAUUCCAGGUGUAGCGGUGAAAUGCGUAGAUAUCAGGAGGAACACCUGCGGUGUAGACGGCUUACUGGACCAUAACUGACGCUGAGGCACGAAAGCGUGGGUAGCAAACAGG